AUUGAACGCUGGCGGCAUGCCUUACACAUGCAAGUCGAACGGUAACAGGUUAAGCUGACGAGUGGCGAACGGGUGAGUAAUGUAUCGGAACGUGCCCAGUCGUGGGGGAUAACUACUCGAAAGAGUGGCUAAUACCGCAUACGACCUGAUGGUGAAAGCGGGGGACCGUAAGGCCUCCGGCGAUUGGAGCGGCCGAUAUCAGAUUAGCUAGUUGGCGGGGUAAAAGCCCACCAAGGCGACGAUCUGUAGCUGGUCUGAGAGGACGACCAGCCACACUGGGACUGAGACACGGCCCAGACUCCUACGGGAGGCAGCAGUGGGGAAUUUUGGACAAUGGACGCAAGUCUGAUCCAGCCAUGCCGCGUGCGGGAAGAAGGCCUUCGGGUUGUAAACCGCUUUUGUCAGGGAAGAAACGCUCUGGAUUAAUACUCUGGGGUAAUGACGGUACCUGAAGAAUAAGCACCGGCUAACUACGUGCCAGCAGCCGCCGUAACAC
rnacentral:rRNA from 1 species